rnacentral:rRNA from 1 species
CGUGUAGGCGGCUUGGUAAGUCGGAUGUGAAAGUCCCGGGCUCAACCCGGGGAGUGCAUUCGAAACUGCUAGGCUUGAGUAAGAGAGAGGAAAGUGGAAUUCCUGGUGUAGAGGUGAAAUUCGUAGAUAUCAGGAGGAACACCGGUGGCGAAGGCGACUUUCUGGCUCUAUACUGACGCUGAGACGCGAAAGCGUGGGUAGCAAACAGGAUUAGAUACCCUGGUAGUCC